GGGUAGAACAAUGGGGGACUCAGCUGCAUGACAAGCUAUGACUGGGUUCUAAGUAUGCCAAGCUACUACACAAAUUUAAUGAUAGAACUUGAAACAUUUGAGACAUUUGCCUCAUGGGACUGAGGAGGAAGUUAGGCAGGAAAGUACCAGGCAUUCUCUCCAGGGAUCUUGCAAUCCCUGGCAAAUCUUUUCUUCUUGAAGGAGCACAUGGAUAUGCUUUGGUGUUUGGCUGCAUAAUUCAAGCUUCUCAAGUUCACAGUUUACUCCACAGAUGACUGAUCAUAGUUUUAAAAGAAUAUCCUAGAAGUUGG
rnacentral:lncRNA from 1 species